GGGGCUGUAACUCAGUUGGGAGAGUGCUUCCCUUGCACGGAAGAAGUCGUAGGUUCGAAUCCUAUCAGCUCCACAA
rnacentral:tRNA from 1 species